UUUACCCUGAAGCAACAAGUGCCUGUCUCUUCGUUUUCAAGCCUUUUUUGACAUCAGCUUUUUUUUCUAAAGGAAGUUAUGUGGAAAUUAUUCUACUAACUUAUUCCUCUUAUUUUUAUUUCAGAGGAAUAUUUGUCUAAGUUAAUUUGUAACUAUGCAUUUAUUUCUGUGCUGAUCUCUUGUUUCUGUGCCAUCCAAUCAAGCAAGUGCAGUCUGACACACCUCCUUUUGCUGCAGCUCAUACAGGUUUGAUUUCCAGUGUUAAAGCACCUCAACUGCUGUGUGUGGAUUUUCUCUGUAUUCAGACACCUUCUCCUUGUUGCUGACAUGCAAUCUAGGAUCAACUUAUUUCCAGUGUUCUGACGUUUCUACUUUGUACUCCAGAUCUUCACAAGGAAUCAUAACAACAGGCCUCAACUCUAUCUGAGAACCAUUCUCUCUAAAGAAUCAAAUGCACAUAUUUAUUCCUCGACCACCUCCAGUGGAGGCAAAGACAAAACUAAGUGAGAGUCCAUGAGAACAUCCUUAACCUAUGGAAAUUAUUCUACCUGGCCACCAGGAGGAGACACCCCAAACAAAGUUAUAAAUAUAAAGUUAUAAAUAUUCCUUCUACUUCCCCUAUCAUCUCAGUAGUUCAAGCCAAGGAUAAGGAAAAGUGAAGAGAGAUGAAAUCUGAGGUGUUCUGCCCCUUGUGCUUACCAGUAUACGGGAAGAAGAUUGACAAAACACCUCAGUAGCGUGAAGGUAGAACUUCAACACUCUGAUGACACCCAAAUUGUGCAACAAUCUCUCCUUGAAAGAUGAUGGAUUGGGACAAAGUGAGGGAAUCACGAUCUCCUGGUUGAUGUGAGUAUUAACUACCUUGGGAAGAAAAUCAAGCUGAGUCUUCAACACAGCCUUAUCUUGAUGGAUCACUAGAUACGGAGGAUCACAUAUCAAAGCUAAAAGCUCUGAAAUAGUAAAAAAAUAUUUUAACAGCAUUAACACUAAAUUUAGGCUCUAUGGAGGAGCAACAGGUUUGAAAACAGGUCAGAGUUUGACCCCUGUCUGAACAAACUCCUGAACAUCUGGCAAACUAGACAACUUAUUGUGAAACAUAAUAGAAAGGGCACAGGUCUACUCCUUAAUAGAACUCGCCAAUAGGCCCUUCUCCAGACCCUCCUAGAAAAAACUGUAAAAUGUGCAGUUUUUACUCUACGCCAAGAGAAACCUCGCUGGUCACACCAGUGAAGAUAAGUCCUCCAGAUCUUCUGGUAGAUGCGUCUGGUGACAGGCUUGCGAGCCUGGAUAAGAGCAUAAAUCACAUUGUCAGAGAAGCCUCCCUGAGCUAAGAUAAACCGUUCAAUCUCCUGGCAGACAGCGAGUAUAAAUAAAAAGAGAUAAGCGCUCAACCUGGGAAAGAACAAUAGCAUAAUAGCUUGUUCUAUGGCUAGUUACCACCAAAGAAGCAGCCUCUUUUGCUCAACAUGUGCCUUUCACAGAGAACUUUCCUGAAGCAUAUCAUUCUGAUCCUGACUUCACAGUACAGUCCAGCCCUGAAAUACCAGGCAAUCCCUCUAUGAACGAGAGAAACAGCAAAACCCAAGACGUACGUUUCGGCCUAUUGUGGGCCUCAUCAGUGUGAUGCAGCCAUAUCCCUCUAGACACUGAGCAACAGGUCCACGUCUGGAUUCCUGUAUCACACUUAGGGAGACUUUCAUAAGUGUCAUAAUUUGCAUAAAUAAAAAGAGAGAAUCUUUUCACCUGGGAACGAACAAUAGCAUAAUAGCUUGCUCUAUGGCUAGUUACCACCCAAGAAGCAGCCUCUUUUUGCUCAACAUGUGCCUUUCACAGAGAAGAACUUACCUGAAGCAUAUCAGCCAGAUCCUGACUUCACAGUACAGUCCAGCCAUGAAAUACCAGGCAAUCCCUCUCUGAACGAGAGAAACAGCAAAACCCCAGACAUAUGUUUCAGCCUAUUGUGGGCCUCGUCAGUGAGGUGCAGCUAUAUCCCUCUAGGCACACUGAGCAAUGGGUCCACAUCUGGAUCCCCACAUCACACUUAGUGAGACUUCCCUAAGUGUCAUAAUUUGCAUAAAUAAAAAGAGAGAAGUGCUCAACCUGUGAAUGAACAAUAGCAUAAUAACUUGUUCUAUGGAUAGUUACCACCCAAGAAGCAGCCCUUUUUUUGCUCAAUAUGUGCUUUUCACAGAGAAGAACUUCACUGAAGCAUAUCAGUCUGAUCCUGACUUCACAGUACAGUCCAGCCCCAAAAUACCAGGCAAUCCCUCUCUGAACGAGAGAAACAGCAAAACCCCAGACAUACGUUUUGGCCUAUUGUGGGCCUCGUCAGUGAGGUGCAGCCAUAUCCCUCUAGGCAAACUGAGCCUCAGAGUAUCUAGGUUUUGAUAACAGAACAGACACUGCCCUGGCAGUACAAGAGUGAUCAGACUGUUGAAUUUAAUAAAGUUAUGUUUAUUGUUUAAAUAGUUUUAAUUAUAUGUUGAAAAAUUAAAGGGACAUUCCAGUCAAAAUUUAAAUGCACAUAGAUUAAUUACAUCUUUGAAUAGAAAGAUAUUAGCAAUAUAAAUGUAUUAGCAAAAAUGCUUGUAGUAAAAGUUAUCACUGUUUUAGUUGUAACAUUUUCCUCUGCACGUGCAUGUGAAGCAUAGCUAGAUAUUGUCACUGCACCCACAUUUUAAAUAAUCUAGCUACUCAGAUCAUCAGUGGGGUUUGUAUCAUGUCAGCAAUUAACAAAUUGAGUCAUUACCUGAUGGUACAAGCACCUUAGGCUCUCUGAGUAAAUGCUGUGUUUAAAAUGCUGGUGCACGGUGCAUACUUAAAUACACUUUUGAAACAGCUAUAGCUUUUAUUAGAAGCAUUUUUGCUAAUGCAUGUAUAUUACAAAAUUGCUUCUGUUCAAUACCAAAAUGCACCCAUGUGUUUUUCAAUUUUGGCUGGAAUAUCCCUUUAAGACACAACCUUUGUGUAUAAUGAUCGACUCAUCAAGGUCAUUUUGAGAGAUUCUAGAAGUGGAAAACUUUUCUGAGAUGAUUGUACUGGACUUUUUGUGAA